rnacentral:rRNA from 1 species
UACGUAGGUGGCGAGCGUUAUUCGGAAUUAUUGGGCGUAAAGGGCGCGUAGGCGGCUGGGCAAGUCAAAGGUGAAAUCCCUCGGCUCAACUGAGGAACUGCCUUUGAAACUGCCUGGCUUGAGGCCGGGAGGGGGUAGCGGAAUUCCCAGUGUAGCGGUGAAAUGCGUAGAUAUUGGGAGGAACACCAGUGGCGAAGGCGGCUACCUGGACCGGUUCUGACGCUGAUGCGCGAAAGCGUGGGUAGCAAACAGG